UUUGAAGCUAAUUGGGGAAAGUGAAUAUAAAAAUUUAGCUAAAGGGGUUUGGGGAGUACGUGUACGAAAAUUUGAGAGUGUAUAGGUGUCGAAAUUGUGCUCCUCUUUUGGUUAGCCGUGUGCUUUUGGUGUUUUUCCUCUUAGUUUUUUUAUUCUUUUCGGGUUUCGGUCUUUUGUUGAUCGAAGUUGUCAUUCUCUUCUUUUCUUCUUUUUCUUAUGCAAACACUCUCUGUUGGCUGAAUGCUCGUUUGAGUUUUCUUUCCUUCCUCUUUCAGUUUUG
rnacentral:lncRNA from 1 species